AGGGCAUAGAGCCCUCGCUUUUUGAACCGUAGGGUGGUUCAGGAACAAGAGCUGGGCAAGGCCGGUGCCAGCCGCCGCGGUAACACCGGCAGCUCGAGUGAUGACCGAUAUUAUUGGGCUAAAGCGUCCGUAGCUGGCUGGGCAAGUCUGUUGGGAAAUCUGCUCGCUCAACGAGCAGGCGUCCGGCAGAAACUGCACAGCUUGGGACCGAGCGGUCCGAGGGGUACGUCCGGGGUAGGAGUGAAAUCCCGUAAUCCUGGACGGACCACCGAUGGCGAAAGCACCUCGGAAGAUCGGAUCCGACAGUGAGGGACGAAAGCUGGGGUCACGAACCGGAUUAGAUACCCGGGUAGUCCCAGCUGUAAACGAUGCCAGUUAGGUGUGGCGCGGGCUACAAGCUCGUGCCGUGCCGCAGCGAAGGCGAUAAACUGGCCGCCUGGGAAGUACGUCCGCAAGGAUGAAACUUAAAGGAAUUGGCGGGGGAGCACUACAACCGGAGGAGCCUGCGGUUUAAUUGGACUCAACGCCGGACAUCUCACCAGCUCCGACAGUAGCAGUGACAGUCAGUGUGAUGAGCUUACUUGAGCUACUGAGAGGAGGUGCAUGGCCGCCGUCAGCUCGUACCGUGAGGCGUCCUGUUAGGUCAGGCAACGAGCGAGACCCGCACUCUUAAUUGCCAGCAUGGGCUUCGGCCUGAUGGGUACAUUAGGAGGACUGCCAGUGCUAAACUGGAGGAAGGAAUGGGCAACGGUAGGUCAGUAUGCCCCGAAUGAGCUGGGCUACACGCGGGCUACAAUGGCCGAGACAGUGGGAUGCAACCCCGAGAGGGGGCGCUAAUCUCCGAAACUCGGUCGUAGUUCGAAUUGCGGGCUGAAACUCGCCCGCAUGAAGCUGGAUUCGGUAGUAAUCGCCGCUCAGAAGGCGGCGGUGAAUACGUCCCUGCUCCUUGCACACACCGCCCGUCAAAGCACCCGAGUGAGGUCCGGAUGAGGCCCGGCAACGGUCGAA
rnacentral:rRNA from 1 species